UCUCUCUCUCUUCCCUCACGUACGGACCACACCCAAAGACCCUUAAAUUUUCACAGAUCGAAGGUGUUGAAGGUACCAUUGGAUUCCUCGUGGUGAGGCGAGUCCAGGGGUAUCAUUUUCAGGUAAGAAACCUUUCGAUUUCACGUCGAAAUAUCAAACUUCGAAUUGAGCACUGUUCACGAACUUUGUAAUGGUUGGUUUUUAGGACAAUCCAAGCUCACAGUGAGCUCUAGGAGGUUUCCACGAAGCUCAGGGACAUUCGUUUGGAAAUUUUGGACGUCGGGAAGCCCUAGUUGAUGCGUAAAAUUACUUGACACACAAAUUAAACCCUCUUUUUUGACAAUUGUAGUAAAGUAUGUAAGUAGGGAUCGUUCUAACCGGGGAUUAACUAGGGGUGCUAAACACUUGACUCAAAUAAAUAAAACUAACUUUUAAAACACUAAGACAAACCAAAAGACUCAAAACAAGUUCAAAAGACUCCAAAUACUUAAAAGCAUAAAAUAAGAUAGAUUUGAACAACUAAGACUUUAACAAAAUAUGGGGAGGGGGAAUUGAGUUGUUUUUGACGAGAUUAAAUUAAAUGGACAGAUUAUAAUUAAGGGCAAAAUGUAAAUAUGAAUGCGAUGAAAAAUAUGGAUGAUGGAAUAGCUUAAGGGGUUCUUCUCCACACAUGUCACACUUGCAAUACAAGAUCAAUUCUCAGUUGGUCUUUCGAUAAAUUAUGAAACUCAACACCCUAGGUUAAUUAGGUCUGCUUAAAUUAACCGUCAAGUUCUCCUUAAGUUAAUGAAUUGGAUGGGUUUGCGCAACGCAAUUCACAACAUUCUCCAAAAGUCCUUUACGUGAAAAGCACAAUAAAGAUACAAUCAAAGAUCAUUAAGCAUCAUGAAAACUAUAAGUGUUGACGAGGCAUUCGUUACUAUGAAAAGCAUGAAACUAGUGCCAAGAAUUCAUUUAACGCGAUUGUUUAUAAGCAACCUCCACUACUUGUGAAUAUAAGUUCAUAACGAUUAGGUGAAACUCACUUAUAUUCUAGCGUCAUAUUUAUGCAUGAAAAUUAAGCGUGCACUCUCAAUAAACAUACAUAAAUAAGUUAUCAAUCAAAUGGUUAAACAAAUUGAAUCCACAACUUAUAAAAUUCCAACCAAAGGUAAUCAAUUCAUAUUGCAAGCAUAAACAUAGUUUCGAAUCACCCCCUAGUUAAAGGGUUUAGUUCCUCAUACUUGCAAUUAAACAAAAACAAUUGAUAUUAAACAUAGAGAAACAAAGUAGAAUACACCUAGAAUGCUCCAACAACUCCAAUGGAAUGGCUAGCACAACUCCAAGCACUCCUCCUUCUUUGCAAGCCUUGGAACUAAUGGAAAUGUGUAUGAAUUUCUGUGUGUCUUCCUUGAAGGCUGAAUGGUGUUUAUAUAGAGGUUGAAAAUGAAAAGAAUUUCAAGGCAAUGGACAUGACAACUCACGGCAAAGAAGAAAGGAUGCUGCCAGCUUUGUUUUUGCAUGUGUGUGUGCUGUUUUUGUGCUCUUUCCACCUAGAAACAAUCAUUCCAAAGCCACCCAAAGUUAUAAGUGGAAGACCAACCAGAAAUCCACCUCAUAGUGGUCCAAUUUCUGCCAUUCCUUGCUGUCCAUUCACUACCAAAGUUGUAGAAAUCUGCCAACUCCAUUCCAUUGCCGUGUGUGUGUGUUUGUGUUGUCAUCAUCACUUCCCACUCUUCCAUGCUUUAAUUUUCUGAUUCCUUGCUGCCCAUGUGGUGUGUGUGUUGCUGUUUUCUUUCCUUCUUGCUGCCCAUGUGGUGUUUAUACUUGCACAUGCAUGUUCUUCAUCCAUUUAGCUAGCAAUAAACACAUUUUCUGCCAUCACAUGGCAGCUAUGAUGUUUGAAGUUGUAGGCCAACACUUUGCACACACACAUGUAGAUUUCUAGCCCAUUGAAUCAUCAAAUUCGUCCAUCCUGAUGUCUCCAUGUUUGCACCAUCCAAUCUUGGCCCAAAAAUGCUCCAAAGUGCUCCAAAAUGCACCUUCUUGCAUCCUUGGCCCAAAGAACCUACAAACACACAAAAAUGGCUUAAACUACUAACAUAACUAAGAACUAAGAACAUAAAUGCACGAAAACAAACAUACUAAGUCGCAUAAAUAUGCUCCUAUCACUAGUUCGAAGGUGGCCGAUUUUGGUGAAAUUAUCCCGACGAGUUUUCGAAGGAUUUGGAAGUUUUAAAAGGUAUAGCCUUCUUCCUCUCGAAAUUUGUGAAGUUUUGGUAAAAAUUUCUUGGAAAACGGUGUAGAAAUGAGUGAAAAAUCAGCAUUUAUAGGUUUGCCCAGUUUCCGGCGCCGACGAGAUUUUCCGGCGUCUGGAGGUAGGGGAUGACGCGCAUGGGGGCGCGUGGCACCGUGCCCCUCCCGGCGCGUGGGGGCGCGUGCGACGAUGAAAAAUUAUUUUAAAAAUAUCUCGACGUCCAUGACGUCAAGUAGGUCACUGUGACAUAUUCAUAUACCCAAAUUGAGCAAUGUAUGAGAAGUUAUUAGCUAGUUUUGCCUAUGUGUUUUAAAUAACAUUUUUAUAGUUUAUUCGCACAUAG
rnacentral:lncRNA from 1 species